UUGGGCGUAAAGAGCUCGUAGGCGGUCUGUCGCGUCGGAUGUGAAAGCCCGGGGCUUAACCCCGGGUCUGCAUUCGAUACGGGCAGACUAGAGUGUGGUAGGGGAGAUCGGAAUUCCUGGUGUAGCGGUGAAAUGCGCAGAUAUCAGGAGGAACACCGGUGGCGAAGGCGGAUCUCUGGGCCAUUACUGACGCUGAGGAGCGAAAGCGUGGGGAGCGAACAGGAUUAGAUACCCUGGUAGUCCACGCCGUAAACGGUGGGAACUAGGUGUUGGCGACAUUCCACGUCGUCGGUGCCGCAGCUAACGCAUUAAGUUCCCCGCCUGGGGAGUACGGCCGCAAGGCUAAAACUCAAAGAAAUUGACGG
rnacentral:rRNA from 2 species